rnacentral:tRNA from 1 species
AAAGAAGUGGCGGAAAACCGCCAAACGCAGCGGAAUCAUAAUCCGCGUGUCGGGGGUUCGAGUCCCUCCUCCGCUACCA